rnacentral:rRNA from 1 species
AAUAGAUACCCCGGUAGUCCACGCCGUAAACGGUGGGCACUAGGUGUGGGCAACAUUCCACGUUGUCCGUGCCGCAGCUAACGCAUUAAGUGCCCCGCCUGGGGAGUACGGCCGCAAGGCUAAAACUCAAAGGAAUUGACGGGGGCCCGCACAAGCGGCGGAGCAUGUGGCUUAAUUCGACGCAACGCGAAGAACCUUACCAAGGCUUGACAUACACCGGAAACGUCUGGAGACAGGCGCCCCCUUGUGGUCGGUGUACAGGUGGUGCAUGGCUGCCGUCAGCUCGUGUCGUGAGAUGUUGGGUUAAGUCCCGCAACGAGCGCAACCCUUGUCCCGUGUUGCCAGCAGGCCCUUGUGGUGCUGGGGACUCACGGGAGACCGCCGGGGUCAACUCGGAGGAAGGUGGGGACGACGUCAAGUCAUCAUGCCCCUUAUGUCUUGGGCUGCACACGUGCUACAAUGGCCGGUACAAUGAGCUGCGAUACCGCGAGGUGGAGCGAAUCUCAAAAAGCCGGUCUCAGUUCGGAUUGGGGUCUGCAAC